rnacentral:rRNA from 1 species
CGGCGUGCCUCACACAUGCAAGUCGAACGAAGCUUGAUUUCUGAUUUUUUCGGAAUGACGAAUGAUAUGACUGAGUGGCGGACGGGUGAGUAACGCGUGAGCCCCCCGCCCUUCGGAACGGGAUAGUGUCUGGAAACGGACAGUAAUACCGUAUAACAUAUAUUGAUCGCAUGGUCGAUAUAACAAAACUGAGGCGCCGAAGGAUGGGCUCGCGUCUGAUUAGAUAGGGGGGGGGGCAACGGCCUACCAAGUCGACGAUCAGUAGCCGGACUGAGAGGUUGAACGGCCACAUUGGGACUGAGACACGGCCCAGACUCCUACGGGAGGCAGCAGUGGGGAAUAUUGCACAAUGGGGGAAACCCUGAUGCAGCAACGCCGCGUGAAGGAAGACGGUUUUCGGAUUGUAAACUUCUGUUCUUAGUGAAGAAUAAUGACGGUAGCUAAGGAGCAAGCCACGGCUAACUACGUGCCAGCAGCCGCGGUAAUACGUAGGUGGCAAGCGUUGUCCGGAAUUACUGGGUGUAAAGGGAGCGUAGGCGGGAUGCCAAGUCAGCUGUGAAAACUAUGGGCUUAACUUGUAGACUGCAGUUGAAACUGGUAUUCUUGAGUGAAGUAGAGGUUGGCGGAAUUCCGAGUGUAGCGGUGAAAUGCGUAGAUAUUCGGAGGAACACCGGUGGCGAAGGCGGCCAACUGGGCUUUAACUGACGCUGAGGCUCGAAAGUGUGGGGAGCAC